rnacentral:rRNA from 1 species
AUGGGAAAAUUUUCAGCUGGAGUAAGGAGGGUGGCUCUGGAGCUGAUGGAAGCCAUACUUGAAGGCCUAGGACUGGGCAAGCAUUACCAGCAUGAAGAAUUUGAGAACGGAUUGCAGCUACUGCAAGUGAACUGCUACCCGAAAGAGCCAGAAGGCGAAUCGGCGAUAGGGCUGGCGCCACAUUCCGACCAUGGAUUUCUUACCAUCUUGCUCGCGAGCUGCCCGGGCCUGGAGGUCCUUGACCGCAGUAGUGACACUUGGAGAGUGGUCCAGCAACCCCGGCACGCGUUGCACGUCCACGUAGGAGACUGCAUGGAGGUUCUGAGCAAUGGCAGGGUCAAGACCGCCGUGCACCGUGCUGUCCUGAACCAUGGCGAGGCGAGGAUCUCCAUGGCGAGCAUCCAUAGUUUUGCGAUGCACGAGAAGGUCUCCGUUGCCAAGGAGCUGGUGGAUGAGCAAGAUCCUGAGAAAUACAAGGAGAGCAGCUUCAGUGACUUCCUGGACUACCUCAUGAGCAAUGCGGACAAGAAGCGCAUGAGCUUUCUUGAGAGCCUUAGGACUUGA